GCCCCCAUAUUAAUGUGGCUCAGUUGGUAGAGCAUGACACUCUUGAUCUCGGGCUUGUGGGUUCGAGCCCCACGUUGGGCA